UAACAUUUCUUAAGAAAAACCAGACAAAGCACCAGAGCCUUUGAAGAGUCUUUAAACAUCCUUUAAUUUUGCAGUUUCAAGAGUGACACACAAGCAGUUACACAGCUCAGAGGGAACCCAUCUCAGCAUGUUAAACCCAGCUGGGUUGACAAUUGACUUGGCAAAUACAAGUGCAGUGUAUUCUUGCUUUGGAGGAAUGGUAUAAACUCCUCACCCUCAGAGAAUAAGGAACCUUCUACAGGGUGGCUUUGCAUGGUCAAUGCAGGGCAGAAACAGUGACCUGAGAACAUCUCAGAGACUGCAGAGCUGGGACCUGCCCUCUUCCUACCCUCGCUGAUCCCUAGCGCUGAGCUACAUAAGCCUGGGUGUCCUUCAAAUCAAAUGCCAAUUACAAAAUAUCUUUUGGAGCUGGGGAGGCUCAAAAGACAUCUUCAGAAAAAAAAAAAAAAAAAAAAAUAGAAUUAAGUUUCACUAUUACCUUAUAUUGGCAAUUUUCUCCUACGUACAUCCACCAUCAUCCGGUGCAGAACGCGCUGUAGGAACCGAUGCCAUAUGGCUCUGAGAUAAUGAAGAAGUCGAAGUGGAAACAAAUGGUCCCAUGUUACCUCCCACUAAGAGAACUGGCUUCUCGCUGUCUGAAGGAAUAAGCAGCUGGAUCUCUUUGCAGUGGAAACAGCAGAAAACUUAAUGUGUCUACAACUGUCACGGAGAAUAGUAUUGGCAGAGCUCAAAGAGGCUUCAAAACCAUCAAGAUCCCACCUGUGAGCAACAGGUCUGCACUUCCACUGUCAUAGCGUGGUCUGAACUUCCCCUGAAGAC
rnacentral:lncRNA from 1 species